GAUGAACGCUGGCGGCGUGCCUAAUACAUGCAAGUCGAGCGAACGGACGAGAAGCUUGCUUCUCUGAUGUUAGCGGCGGACGGGUGAGUAACACGUGGAUAACCUACCUAUAAGACUGGGAUAACUUCGGGAAACCGGAGCUAAUACCGGAUAAUAUUUUGAACCGCAUGGUUCAACAGUGAAAGACGGUCUUGCUGUCACUUAUAGAUGGAUCCGCGCUGCAUUAGCUAGUUGGUAAGGUAACGGCUUACCAAGGCAACGAUGCAUAGCCGAUCUGAGAGGGUGAUCGGCCACACUGGAACUGAGACACGGUCCAGACUCCUACGGGAGGCAGCAGUAGGGAAUCUUCCGCAAUGGGCGAAAGCCUGACGGAGCAACGCCGCGUGAGUGAUGAAGGUCUUCGGAUCGUAAAACUCUGUUAUUAGGGAAGAACAUAUGUGUAAGUAACUGUGCACAUCUUGACGGUACCUAAUCAGAAAGCCACGGCUAACUACGUG
rnacentral:rRNA from 1 species